rnacentral:lncRNA from 1 species
AAGUUAAUGAAUUUGUUUCUGCUGUUCUUCUUAACAGUUAAUGUAAUUUUGGAAAAGUAGGAAAUAAGAACCACAUUUCAGGGCACUUUGGAUUUUUUCACGCCAACUUUAAAAGGCUGAUAAUAUUGGAUAUUGCUCAGGAACAAGAAUGAUUUGUUUUGAUUACUUCAUUCAGUCAAGAGAAUAAUCCUUUGGUAGAACAAAACUAUUCCCUCACCUGAACUCAAAUGUCAUGUGACAAAUCAGAGACAGGCUGCAUUGGCUUCUCUAAACUUUUCAGGAUGGGGGAGGAGGGAGUCUGGAUAAAGCUGGACUGGGGGAGGGUGUACUGGGGAAAGACCUGGUAAGAUGAUGUGUCUAACAGCCUCACCUAGAAAACAUUAUCUUCUCUGGCCUGAGAGCAAAGCCUGGAAUUCCAAUGUUAGAGAUUUCUUCCCCUGUUAACAUUGUUUUCUCUGGGUAAACCUUUUUAGCCACUUGGGGUUUUGAAGUCUUCUACAGAGAAAGGAUUCUGCUUGUGGGGAAGGGCUAAGAAAGAUAGCCUAAAUCCUAGAGCAGUGGCAAAAUAGGGAGGUCUUGAGUACCAACAUUCCUGAAUUUGGAUGUUUGCAUGGGGCCAGCCCUGGUUGGAGAGGUCGGAUUAUUUUAUUGUUUGAUUUGAAGAUGCUUAGGUGAAGGAAUGGUACCUUUUG